rnacentral:rRNA from 1 species
GAUCAUGGCUCAGGAUGAACGCUAGCUACAGGCUUAACACAUGCAAGUCGAGGGGCAGCGGGAUUGAAGCUUGCUUCAAUUGCCGGCGACCGGCGCACGGGUGAGUAACGCGUAUCCAACCUUCCGUACACUCAGGGAUAGCCUUUCGAAAGAAAGAUUAAUACCUGAUGGUAUGAUGAGAUUGCAUGGUAUCACUCUAAUUAAAAGUAAUUUAGUCGGUGUACGAGUGGGUAGUGUCCG